AUGUGCCUUUGCCAUGCUGGAUCAUGCCAAGCAGUACUGCCUGAGGUUUUGCAAAAUGAGGCUGGCACGGAGAUGAUGGGAAACACAACGUUGAAAUGGCACUUACAGCAUCCCAGAGGACCAUUCAAAGCAACAAAAAAACCUGGUGAUGUCCUUAAAGACUGCAGAUGGUUUCUUCAAGAUAUCUGUCACUUCUCUGGGGGAUAUUAA
rnacentral:lncRNA from 1 species